UCAGUGGCUGAGGCCUCAACUGUCUCAGUUAGCUAGUUUUUGGUAACUAUUUGUUUUCUUAUUAGAUAUGACUAGUCGCUACUGUUCUGAGCAAAAACCACUUAUGUGUAAUAACUUUUAAUGAAACUAGGGUUUUCAUGCUACAAUCAUUUUAUAAUAAAUUUUUAGAUAAAAAUCACAGACUUUAUGUUCUGCUCUCGGUGCAGUUUAAUAGCCAGCCAUUAUCACUUGUAGAAAAUUACUUUAAGGAAAUACCAUUUGAUCAGUAGUUCAACAAUUGGCCAUAGUGGCUAGCCGUGCAUAGGAAAUCAUACCUUUAUUGGCUAGUUGAUGAUUAAGCACUUCAUUACAUAAAUAAACCGAGGAGAAUAUUUAUGUCAUGCUAUAUUUACUAAGUUUAUACUGAUACAUUAUAUUAUAGAUAUUUCUAUAUUGAUAAAUAUACC